GAUGAACGCUGGCGGCGUGCCUAAUACAUGCAAGUCGAGCGAACAGAUAAGGAGCUUGCUCCUUUGACGUUAGCGGCGGACGGGUGAGUAACACGUGGGUAACCUAUCUAUAAGACUGGAAUAACUCCGGGAAACCGGGGCUAAUGCCGGAUAACAUGUUGAACCGCAUGGUUCUACAGUGAAAGGCGGCUUUGCUGUCACUUAUAGAUGGACCCGCGCCGUAUUAGCUAGUUGGGGAGGUAACGGCUCACCAAGGCAACGAUACGUAGCCGACCUGAGAGAGUGGUCGGCCGCACUGGAGCUGAGACGCGGUCCAGACGCCUACGGGAGGCAGCAGUAGGGAAUCUUCCGCAAUGGGCGAAAGCCUGACGGAGCAACGCCGCGUGAGUGAUGAAGGUCUUCGGAUCGUAAAACUCUGUUAUUAGGGAAGAACAAAUGCGUAAGUAACUGUGCGCGUCUUGACGGUACCUAAUCAGAAAGCCACGGCUAACUACGUG
rnacentral:rRNA from 1 species